rnacentral:rRNA from 1 species
UACGUAGGGUGCAAGCGUUGUCCGGAAUUAUUGGGCGUAAAGAGCUCGUAGGCGGUCUGUCGCGUCGGCUGUGAAAUCCCGGAGCUCAACUCCGGGUCUGCAGUCGAUACGGGCAAACUGGAGUACUGCAGGGGAGACUGGAAUUCCUGGUGUAGCGGUGAAAUGCGCAGAUAUCAGGAGGAACACCGGUGGCGAAGGCAGGUCUCUGGGCCGAUACUGACGCUGAGGAGCGAAAGCGUGGGGAGCGAACAGG